GUUUUAAACAUACAUCCCUUUUUAAUGAUUUUUAAAAAAUGGGUAAACAUAAUAAUGGUUGUAACCUCACUUUGGAAGAAAGUGCGUCCCUUAAAGGAUUCAGAGAAAAUGAUCAAAUUGUCAUCAACCCCACAGAUAAGGGCGGUAGUUUGGUGAUAAUGGAUUCUAACAAGUAUGUGGCAGAAUGCACAUGACAGUUGGAGGAUACGGAGGUAUAUACCAAAUUAAAUGGAGACCCUUUGGAAAAAAUAUGAGGAGGUCCUUGACAUGACUUUU